rnacentral:rRNA from 1 species
GAUGAACGCUGACAGAAUGCUUAACACAUGCAAGUCAACUGUGGCGUACGGGUGAGUAACGCGUAAAGAACUUUCCUCACAGAUAGGGACAACAUGUGGAAACGAAUGCUAAUACCUGAUACUGUGAGAGAUCUUUGCGUCCCAUUAGCUAGUUGGAGAGGUAAUGGCUCACAAAGGCGAUGAUGGGUAGACGGCCUGAGAGGUUGAUCGGCCACAAGGGGACUGAGAGACGGAGCUUACUGCGUAGGGAGGAAGCAAUGGACAAUAUUGGACAAUGGGCCAAAGUUUGAUCCAGCGAUUAUGUGGGGACGAUGAAGUUUUCGGGAUGUAAAGUGAUUUCAGUUGGGAAGCGGCACCGACAGAAGAAGUGACGGCUAAAUACGUGCCAGCAGCCGCGGUAAUAC